rnacentral:rRNA from 1 species
AGAGUUUGAUCCUGGCUCAGAGUGAACGCUGGCGGCAGGCCUAACACAUGCAAGUCGAACGGCAGCACAGGAGAGCUUGCUCUCUGGGUGGCGAGUGGCGGACGGGUGAGGAAUACAUCGGAAUCUACCUUUUCGUGGGGGAUAACGUAGGGAAACUUACGCUAAUACCGCAUACGACCUUCGGGUGAAAGCAGGGGACCUUCGGGCCUUGCGCGAUUAGAUGAGCCGAUGUCGGAUUAGCUAGUUGGUGAGGUAAAGGCUCACCAAGGCGACGAUCCGUAGCUGGUCUGAGAGGAUGAUCAGCCACACUGGAACUGAGACACGGUCCAGACUCCUACGGGAGGCAGCAGUGGGGAAUAUUGGACAAUGGGCGCAAGCCUGAUCCAGCCAUGCCGCGUGGGUGAAGAAGGCCUUCGGGUUGUAAAGCCCUUUUGUUGGGAAAGAAAAGCAGUCGAUUAAUACUCGAUUGUUCUGACGGUACCCAAAGAAUAAGCACCGGCUAACUUCGUGCCAGCAGCCGCGGUAAUACGAAGGGUGCAAGCGUUACUCGGAAUUACUGGGCGUAAAGCGUGCGUAGGUGGUGAUUUAAGUCCGUUGUGAAAGCCCUGGGCUCAACCUGGGAAUUGCAGUGGAUACUGGGUCACUAGAGUGUGGUAGAGGGUAGCGGAAUUCCCGGUGUAGCAGUGAAAUGCGUAGAGAUCGGGAGGAACAUCUGUGGCGAAGGCGGCUACCUGGACCA